rnacentral:rRNA from 1 species
UACGUAGGGGGCUAGCGUUGUCCGGAAUCAUUGGGCGUAAAGCGCGUGUAGGCGGUCCGGUAAGUCCGCUGUGAAAGUCGAGGGCUCAACCCUCGAAUGCCGGUGGAUACUGUCGGGCUUGAGUACGGGAGAGGCGACUGGAAUUCCUGGUGUAGCGGUGAAAUGCGCAGAUAUCAGGAGGAACACCGGUGGCGAAGGCGAGUCUCUGGGCCGAUAUUGACGCUGAGGAGCGAAAGCGUGGGGAGCGAACAGG